AAGUCUGGUUCCCGAGCAAGGUCUGGGGAUGAGGGGCUGCCUGCCCUCAUGGCCAAUUUCUCGACUCUACUCUCUAGGUGGGCUCCAUCCCUGCCAAUGCUGCAGACGACGGACAGUGGUCACAGGGGCUGAUUUCUGCUGCCCGGAUGGUGGCGGCUGCGACCAGCAGUCUCUGUGAGGCGGCCAAUGCCUCCGUUCAGGGACACGCCAGCGAGGAGAAGCUCAUCUCAUCUGCCAAGCAGGUCGCCGCUUCCACGGCUCAGCUGCUGGUGGCCUGCAAGGUGAAGGCCGACCAGGAUUCAGAGGCCAUGAGGCGGCUACAGGCGGCAGGAAAUGCUGUGAAAAGAGCCUCAGACAAUCUUGUCCGUGCAGCCCAGAAGGCAGCAUUUGGCAAAGCUGAUGACGACGAUGUUGUAGUGAAAACCAAGUUUGUGGGGGGCAUUGCUCAGAUCAUCGCCGCCCAGGAAGAAAUGCUAAAGAAAGAGCGAGAACUGGAAGAAGCAAGGAAAAAACUGGCCCAAAUCCGCCAGCAGCAGUAUAAGUUUUUACCCACCGAGC
rnacentral:sRNA from 1 species